AAACCGCAUGGUUUUGAUUUGAAAGGCGCUUUCGGGUGUCGCUGAUGGAUGGACCCGCGGUGCAUUAGCUAGUUGGUGAGGUAACGGCUCACCAAGGCCACGAUGCAUAGCCGACCUGAGAGGGUGAUCGGCCACAUUGGGACUGAGACACGGCCCAAACUCCUACGGGAGGCAGCAGUAGGGAAUCUUCGGCAAUGGACGAAAGUCUGACCGAGCAACGCCGCGUGAGUGAAGAAGGUUUUCGGAUCGUAAAACUCUGUUGUUAGAGAAGAACAAGGAUGAGAGUAACUGUUCAUCCCUUGACGGUAUCUAACCAGAAAGCCACGGCUAACUACGUGCCAGCAGCCGCGGUAAUACGUAGGUGGCAAGCGUUGUCCGGAUUUAUUGGGCGUAAAGCGAGCGCAGGCGGUUUCUUAAGUCUGAUGUGAAAGCCCCCGGCUCAACCGGGGAGGGUCAUUGGAAACUGGGAGACUUGAGUGCAGAAGAGGAGAGUGGAAUUCCAUGUGUAGCGGUGAAAUGCGUAGAUAUAUGGAGGAACACCAGUGGCGAAGGCGGCUCUCUGGUCUGUAACUGACGCUGAGGCUCGAAAGCGUGGGGAGCAAACAGGAUUAGAUACCCUGGUAGUCCACGCCGUAAACGAUGAGUGCUAAGUGUUGGAGGGUUUCCGCCCUUCAGUGCUGCAGCUAACGCAUUAAGCACUCCGCCUGGGGAGUACGACCGCAAGGUUGAAACUCAAAGGAAUUGACGGGGGCCCGCACAAGCGGUGGAGCAUGUGGUUUAAUUCGAAGCAACGCGAAGAACCUUACCAGGUCUUGACAUCCUUUGACCACUCUAGAGAUAGAGCUUCCCCUUCGGGGGCAAAGUGACAGGUGGUGCAUGGUUGUCGUCAGCUCGUGUCGUGAGAUGUUGGGUUAAGUCCCGCAACGAGCGCAACCCUUAUUGUUAGUUGCCAUCAUUCAGUUGGGCACUCUAGCAAGACUGCCGGUGACAAACCGGAGGAAGGUGGGGAUGACGUCAAAUCAUCAUGCCCCUUAUUGAACUG
rnacentral:rRNA from 1 species